CUCAAAUUCAAUAUUUUUGAAGGUCUACGACUCUAUGUUUUCUUUACUACCAAUUAUUAAACAAGUCCCUGUUUGUCCAAACUCUGAUGGGCAUUUCUGCUCUUUAAAAUCAAUUCUUGUGGCUAAUGAAACCAAUAUGUAUCGGAUAUUAGAUGAAAUUCCCAGAUUUCAAAGUCCAGUUGCCUAGGAAUUACUGAUUCUUUCCUUGUUUGCUUUAAUCUGGGGAGAUCAAAGGUAACCCAAAUAUGCUCAUGACUUACUAUUUGUCAUUCAAUCUUAUUUCACUGGACGGAGGUUGAAGAUAAAGCUAAUUUGAAUCUCCAUCUCUCUCUACAUGCUUAACUGCAUAGAUAUUUGGCUCACCGAUGUGGUCUCUUUUCUUUUUUAGACAGAUUGUGGGCAUAAAGGUUAGAUUGAACUCAGAAAUCUUGUUGUGAAUAAUAGCUCUUCUAUGCUUUCUUUCACCUAUGAUAGUUCAUCCAUUGCAAUAUAUUGUUGGUGGAAAUUUUAAUUUUGAGUGAUGUAACUUUUGAUCUGAGGUUGAGAAUUGUGUUGCUGAAGUUAUCCUUGCGGGUAUCUGUUACAUUGCCGCAGUUAGUUACGUGGGUUAAGCUUACUUAAAUGAUCUGUCCAUAAUCUACUGUAUAAUUUAUGAUACAAUAUCAAUUAUCAAUAUUAUGACCCAUUUACUUAUUGAAUCCGAGGAUUAGCAAUAAAGAACAAAACACAUAAUUCUA
rnacentral:misc_RNA from 1 species